UACGGAGGGUGCGAGCGUUAAUCGGAUUUACUGGGCGUAAAGCGUACGUAGGCGGCUUGUUAAGCAAGAUGUGAAAUCCCCGGGCUCAACCUAGGAAUUGCGCUUGUGACUGGCGGGCUCGAGUACGGUAGAGGGGGGUGGAAUUCCUGGUGUAGCAGUGAAAUGCGUAGAGAUCAGGAGGAACACCGAUGGCGAAGGCAGCCCCCUGGGCCUGUACUGACGCUCAUGCACGAAAGCGUGGGGAGCAAACAGG
rnacentral:rRNA from 1 species